UCCUUGUUAGUACAAUGGUUAGUACACCUGUCCUUGUGAUGGGGGAUCGAGGUUCGAGUCCUCGACUUGGAU
rnacentral:tRNA from 1 species